CCUACGGGUGGCAGCAGUGAGGAAUAUUGGUCAAUGGACGAGAGUCUGAACCAGCCAAGUAGCGUGAAGGAUGACUGCCCUAUGGGUUGUAAACUUCUUUUAUAUGGGAAUAAAACGUUCCACGUGUGGGAUUUUGUAUGUACCAUAUGAAUAAGGAUCGGCUAACUCCGUGCCAGCAGCCGCGGUAAUACGGAGGAUCCGAGCGUUAUCCGGAUUUAUUGGGUUUAAAGGGAGCGCAGGUGGAUUGUUAAGUCAGUUGUGAAAGUUUGCGGCUCAACCGUAAAAUUGCAGUUGAAACUGGCAGUCUUGAGUACAGUAGAGGUGGGCGGAAUUCGUGGUGUAGCGGUGAAAUGCUUAGAUAUCACGAAGAACUCCGAUUGCGAAGGCAGUUCACUGGACUGUAACUGACACUGAGGCUCGAAAGUGUGGGUAUCAAACAGGAUUAGAUACCCUAGUAGUC
rnacentral:rRNA from 1 species